CAGGCUGCCAGCGUGGAAAACCGGCCACGUGCAGGUCUGGGGCUGGGCACACACAGGGUCACACCCAGGAAGGGAUAAGCUAUGCAUUUCUAUUGAUAGAGUGGGCAGGGACCACAGGAAUUUAGAAAAUAUUAGGGCCAAGUUUACUGGGGAAAAUGUACAGGCCAGCAGAUAGCAUGGAAAAGUCCCCUCCCUGAGGAAGGGAAGCAUCUCAGAGGAGGUAAGAGACUGCUCCCAGGGCUGUGGUUAGAGCCUCCCCAACCGCAGCACGAUGCCCUUUGUCCCAUCUUCAGCAGGAGGGGCUGCUCUCCAUGGAGAUGAGGCUGACAGGGUCAGCGGAGUAGCCUGUGACAGGCAGGUUUUAAUAAGUUCAUUUUCAGCCAACCCCUGAAAUGGGUUAUUUUUGUUCCAUGGGAAUGCUCUACAUCUUCUGAAAGAUGGCACCUGGGACCCAGCCCAUGGCCUUCCUGGGGUAGGAUGUGCUGGAGAAGGAUUCUGUGGACCUGACAGAGAAGACAGAAGCCAGAGAGUAGACACCCGGAAAGAAAGAGGGAAAAGUGUGGUGGGAAGGACAGAGGGGACCCGAAGUUCCCCACGCCAGGGAAAUGACAGGGGGUUGCCAGUCUGUUUCUGAUGGUUGAGCAGUCAGGGGCCCAGAGACGCAGGAAACCCAAAAUCCUUGGUCCACCACGGGGCUGUCCUCAGGGUCUGGAGAGCAGGCCCCAUACUCCAGGCCCCCAUCCUCCAGGCCCUCGUCCCCCAGGCUCCAUCCUCCAGGCCCCCAUUCUCCAGGGCUCCAUCCUCUAGGCCCCUGUCCUCCAGGCCCCCAUCCUCUAGGCCCUCAUCCUCCAGGCUCCAUCCUCCAGGCUCCAUCCUCCAGGUUUCAUCCUUCAGGCCAUCAUCCUCCAGGCCCCCGUCCUCCAGGCCCCCAUCCUCCAGGCCCCAUCCUCCAGGCCCCCAUCUUUCAGGCCCCUGUCCUCCAGGCUCUUGUCCUCCAGGCCCUCAUCCUCCAGGCCCCUGCUCCUCCAGACCCUCAUCCUCCAGACCCUCAUCCUCCAGGCCCCCAUCUUUCAGGCCCCUGUCCUCCAGGCCCUCUUCCUCCAGACCCUCGUCCUCCAGGCCCCUGUUCCUCCAGACCCUCGUCCUCCAGACCCUCAUUCUCCAGGCCCCCGUCCUCCAGGCUCCAUCCUCCAGGGCUCCUCUGGGUCCGGGUCAAGUACCUCCAGGCUCUCUGCUGACUGUUCACCACUGGGCAACCACAGGGACUCGAUCCAUGAAAACUCUGGCAAGGAACUUCCAUCUCCACUCCACUUCUGCCACUUCUGCCACCCUCCCAUGACCACACUCAGAACUUGAGCUCCACCUCUGAAAGAGGCAGAAUUGCCUUAUCUCACACAGUGGUGACAGCACUCUGUAAUAAUCUGCAUGGGCCAGGGCUCCUUGGUUGCAGGUAACAGAUACCACUGUUACGGCCCAACUCUGUUCUUCUAUGUUGAAGCCGGAACCCCCAGCGCCUCAGAAUGGGAUCACAUCUGGAGAAGGCGCCUUUAAAGAGAGUGCAAGUUAGGUAAGAAAGAACGGAUGGUGGACAGCCAGGAAACAGUCAGCUACGAGAUGUUGUGUGGAAAGCCCACCUUUCUGACACUGGAGAACUGUGGGAAGAACGGACAGGCCACACACCAGCUGGGCUCUGAGAACCCCCAGCUUCUGCUCCACAGUGAGCCAGCAGGAAUCCAAAGGGCAUGGGCAGACCCCAGGGGCUCCUUCACCCCACCCAGGGGUAGAGAGGGCAAGACGGAGUAGAGCGAGGUAAGAGACUGAGCAAUGCGUUCCCAAAGACUGUGACUGACAGAAGCUGUGCAAAUUAUUAUGACAAACUGAAUUUUAAGAGGAAUUGGACUAAAUAAAGUUAGCUCAUUUUUACCUGUAAUUAGCAGACAGAGAGUGUAAGAUCAGACAUACCAUAGAUGGAAAAGAAAAGCUAAAACUUCCUUGCACAUCUGAGAGGUAAGAGGAGGUGUCUGUGGCCCCCCUGACACAUACGUGACAUAUGUAUUAUUACGGCUCAUGUGUGUGCUGCUGUGUGCAGGGGGCAGGGGGCUUCCCGUUCCUGAUGGUUCUUCUUGGUGGGUGUCUCCCGGCCUCUCAGGCCUCUUUAUCUGCUGAACGUGGUAGCCAAGGGUUUGGGAAUGAUUUGCCAGACUGGUUAAUGUGGAAAGAGCUGGCCCCGCUCAGUUCUGCACCUCCCUCUUCCUCCCUGGAACCGUCUGGCUGCAGAGAGCAGGAGCUUUCCAGAGCUCCCGGGGGAUCCCAUCUCCAGUAUAACUGUGCAACGUGUGCCCAGCACAAGAGCACCAGAUGGAGGGACAGGUGGGAGGAGGAGGAACCCAGGGUGCAUUUAGCUUGGGGCUUGCUGAGCUGAGGUCCCCAGAGCAAGGACGACUAGGUUGGGGGGACACCCUCUCCCAAUCCUUGCCAAGCUACAGAGGGGCCAGUGGGAAUAAAGUGACAUUUUGGCUUCUGUAUCCCUCCUCUGCUGUUCUAUUUUCUAGUUCGUUCAGAUCUGAGGUUGGGGAGGGGUUUUCCUGGAGGGGUCAGUCCAUGCCACCCUCUGCAAUUUUUAUUACACAUGCUUUCAGACAUUCUGCUACAGGUUUCAUCUCCUACGCCAAUUUCUAUUUGGGAAAGCAAAUAAACGGAAAGCUAACUUGUGUCACUUGGUCGCUGGGGCAUCCGCAGUGAGUAGUUAAGAAAUGCCAGGGGAGUCGGUGUCCAUUUUCAUGCCUGGACAAGAGUGCGUCUUGGACUUGCGUCCUGCUGCACACCCCACCGUCCCGCUGCACACCCCACCGUCCUACUGCACACCCCACUGUCCUACUGUACACCCCACCGUCCUACUGCACACCCCACUGUCCUACUGCACACCCCACUGUCCUACUGUACACCCCACCAUCCCUGCUUUCUGCACUCAGCUGCCCACUUGUAUCCCAGCUCAGGAAGCCCAGAAG
rnacentral:lncRNA from 1 species